UCUGUUUCCUGCUCGGCUGCUCGCCAAUCGUCCGCCAUUGUUCGUGGCAGUUUGUGGCUUCGGCGCUUCGCGUCCCAUGAGAAAUCUGAGAAUUUAGCACGAGAAAUGUCGUUUACGAUAGAAAAAGAAGUUGUGGUGUAUAUUGUGUUCAAUUUUGGUUUGAUUGAAGGUGAAAAUCAUAGAUUUUCAACUUUUGAAGUUAACACAAAGAGGCUUUCAGAGUGGGAAAAAUGGAUUCCUUAACCUGAUUCUCAGCUAUCUGUGGUCGGUAUUUUGAUGCUGAUGAUAUUAUUAAAGGGAGAGAAAUAGGUGGAAUUUUCCAGCCAUUCAAGAAAUGGACCCUUAAAGACCUUGCUGUACCCAAACACUUUCUAUGCAAACCUGUUGAUCCUCUUGCUGAAUCUCUUGAUUGUUCUCAAGCCAAGAAAGGUGGGCCCAAGAUACAUAUCCCAUUCGCUGAUUGCAACAAAGAAAAUCAUAAAGCUCUUGCUUCACAAUCUUCUAAUAAUGGUGGGACCUCUAAACGGAUUCCAUUAUCUGAGCACUGGAAAUCGGCAGCCUCUCAUUUCCAAAGCUUCAAACAAUGCAGGUACACUCAUCAAUUUAACUAGUCCCCAUAAACACUUUAAGAUGAUUAAUAGCAUUAAUCAAAUGGACCAAAAUGUGAAUGUUAUCAAUAAUUUGUUAAGGGCAGCUCAAGGUGAGACCAGUGUGACACUUCAUGACCUUGGAGUCAACAAUUUCCUGUUCCUCUGAGAGACUAGCUUCGACUGAUUCUGAAGCAACAGAUGCUUGUUUUAGUCAAGAGUCCCUUUCAGGUGAUCCCAAGACCCUUCAAAUCAACAAUUAUCCAAAUGAAGACUACAUGAAAUCCUACUUCUAUUGUUUAAACCUUUGUGGUCUGUUAUAACAUUCUAUAUUGUCCAAAUGGCAAAUGAACAAUAAAUUACGACUUCUCCUGUUUUAA
rnacentral:misc_RNA from 1 species